CGGUCAUUUUCCCGGAUACGGGAAGAAAUAAGGUCAAGAUUCAUAAAGACAAAAAAUUUUAAUAUGUGUCCAAAAAGAUGACACUUGGAUGGGUAUUUUAUAAGUGUUGGCAACAGUGGAAAAUACAAAGAGUAACACGGAAUGUAGAGACUUACUGCUACCAGUGUAAAACCUUAGUACAUUUGGUGCUGGAUACAGAGGAUUUUGAGAUCUUGCCAGGAAAAAUCAUCAAACUUAAAGGAACUUGUGUUCGGUGCAAUGCACCUAUUAUCAAAAAUCAUAUUCUGAAGGGAUGGCAUAGAGCCCUUUUUUAAGAA